AUAAAAGCGAAGACGGGGAGGAGUACAGCGGCCCGCGCCUGCAGAGAGGGAAAUCAGAAGCUGCGAGAUUUCCUAGGAUGGCGGCUGCUGGAAGGUCGCCCUUGAGCUGCUUCGUUGAAAGGCGCUGCUGCCGAGUAGAGGAAGCCGGUUGAUUGCCGUUAUGCCAAUGAAGCGCUUAAGCCCUAGAGGGCGGUGGUUGAAAAACGCCGUUUCAAGAUGCCUUUUUCCCAAGCCGGAGAUGCGGCUGUGGUAUGGGAACGGCGCUCUGCUUCCAUCCUCUAGAUCGCUGGUGAGAACGGUUGUUUCUCUUGAGCAGUGGGGAGCGUGCGAAAGGCGGUCCUGAUGCGACAGGGCUUUUCGAUUUGAGAAACGAGGUUGGGAAGCGUCCGGCUCCCUUCCAUCCCCAGCCUUCUAGGCUUAAGAAAAAAGGUGGUACCGCGAAAGCAGCUCCUUUCGUCCUUUUC
rnacentral:ncRNA from 1 species